UCAUUAAUAAUAUUCAAUAUAAUAAUAUUUAAACAGUAUAAUUUAACAUAAGCGGAAGAAAAAUAAUAAGCUAUCUGAACAUGAAUAUCUAAUACAACUUAUUUGAGUCUCGACUACCCAGAACUGGUGUCACAGUUUCACAGAUGGUCUAAGAAUACUAUAAAUAAAGGUCUGAAAGAAUUUAAUACAACAUUGUCUCUGGAAAUACAGGUAAGAAACAGAAAAGUAGAUAGAAAGGAGACGCUAAGGCCUACGGACACUUGCAGGGCUACCUCGGGUCGCCUGACGAACAUCAGUCAGCAAUCUCACUGCGAUCCGAAGUCCACAACACAAGGGUCUGCACAAAAGAGUGCAGAGUGUAGUAUCAGCACAACCAGCCCCAUGUGCUAGUAAGUGCCAAGCCUAACCUCGGCGAAGUAGUGACGAGGCUAGGACCAGACUAACAAAUAAACUCGUGCAGUUAUAUAAUAUAUAGCAAAAAGUAAAGUAGAAAUGAGCAAGUAAGGAUGAGACGGGGAAACAUGUUGCAGGGGUAUACCAGUAUCAACAGUAAAUCCAUAAUAACAGUCUAAGGGAGCUUAGGAUUCACAACAAAUAAAAGAAAACAAAUAUCCAAAAUAAACACAGUUGUAUAAAUAAUUGUUGUGGCGCGCAACCUGAUCCCAAUAUAUAAUAUCAACAUUGUUGCAUCGUAUAACCCGAUUCAUAUCAUUAAUAUUGUUGUGGCAUGACACCCGAUCCACACAUAUCAUUGUUGCGGCGUGCAACCCGAUCCACAUAUAAUAUUGUUGAGACGUGCAACCCUAUCUACAUAUAAUAUUGUUGCAGCGUGCAAUCCGAUCCAUAUAUAAUAUUGUUGUGGCGUGCAACCCGGUCCACAUAUAAUAUUGUUGCAGCAUGCAACCUGAUCCACAUAUAAUAUUAUUGCAGCGUGCAAAUCGAUGCACAUAUAAUAUUGUUAACAAUCAUAACAAGAGUCCCGACAAGGAAUUUGACAGCCUAAGUAAGUACGUCCCGGCAAAGGAGAAACAACUAUAACAAAACUUGCUACAACACCUAACUACCUCAGUUAUAACCAAACUUGUUACAACACCUAACUACCUCAGUUAUAACCAAACUUGUUACAACACCUAACUACCGUAGCUAUAACCAAAUUUGUUCCAACCUCUAACUACCACAUCUAUAACCAUAAUCCUUACCCGACACAAAGAAUCAUCAACCUAAGCAUCCAUAAUAUCAAUUAAGAACACAAUGCAAGGGAACCACAACUCAACAAUAGAUCGGCAAUAGGGCAAUAUAAUUGUAACAUCCCGUAAAUUCAGCUUAGGUAUAAAUGAGUUAAAGGAGUAGUAAUGUUAUAUUUUUGACAUAUGAAUUUCAAUCGAGAUGAUUAUGCGUGAAAAUAUUUGUUUCAAAAUCGAGAUGGAAAGUGAGGUGCAUAAGAUUCGACAAAAUCGACUAAGUCUACAGAAGUUCCAUCUUCCAGCAGAGAUUAGUGAACAUUUGUAAGGAAUUGAAGAAUAUUUAACGCAUGAAAUCUUGUAGGACUUUGAAAUAUCUUUCGAACGAUAUAUUAUGGGUAACCCAGCAAGGGGGGGAAACAUAAUGAUCUCUUCUCUUUCUGACUUUUACUUCACAAUUCACUUUAUGACUCGAGUUAGUGUUCUAGAGUUUCAAUUAUCACUUAUACCUUCACAAUUCAUUAUACAACUGGAUCCAACGUUCCUCAAUAGGCCACAAUUCUUUCCACAACUUUAUACAACAAAUAAAGAUCUUCACUAAGGCAUGAAUAAUACAACGAAGUCAUGAAAAUCAUAAUAUAAGUCAUGCCGACACCAACUUAUAUAUACUCAUCACCAUGCCUAUACGUCUUGCUCAACAAAAAACAAAUAGAAAAUAGGACACAAAUCCUAAUCCUUCAAGCUAAGGUUAGACGAAGCACUUAUCUCGAUGCUACGAACACAAUUCAUGGCCAACUCAAGCCUCAAACACCGCUUUCCCUUUCGAAUUUGGCUCCAACUCAAUCGUAUCUAUACAUAAUUGACUAAAUAAUAUCAAUAAAUUCCCAACAAUCCAAUUCCAAUACUUAGUUAUAGCUUUCUAAUCAUUCUUCUUUAAAAGUCAAAAAUUGACCCCGAACUCGCUUGGUCGAAAAACGAGGUUCGGACCAAAACUCGAUCACCCAUUAACCCACAAGCCGGAAUAUAUAAUUUGUUAUGAAAUCGGACCUUUAAUCGAGGUUCAAAUCCUCAACUUUUGAAAACCUAGGUCGUACCCAAAACACCCAAUUUCUCCCAUAAAAAUCAUUCAUUUUGAGUUGAAAUCAUGUGAAAAUAUGUUAAUGAUUGAAGAAAAUAAGUUAGAAAUCACUUACCAAUGUUUUGGAGAAGAAAGGUUGUUUGAAAAAUCGCCUCUUAUAUUUUUGGAAUUUUGAAAAAAAUGAAAAGUAACUGAAAAUAUCUUUUUAAUAUACCCCUUUCAGACCCCCUGUGCGGACCGCACAAAAUGGGCUGCGGCUGCACAGCCCUUCCUGUGUACUGCAGUAAUAUAUUUUAGUAUUUUAGCCAUAACUUUCUCUAAAGAUGUCCAAAUUGCGAUUUAUUUAGCUUCCUAGAAACUAGACACGAACGGCUACAACUUUCCUUGUUGAAUCAUCUCAAAAUUUCUUGUAAAUCAAAAGAUAUAGGCUUCCGAAAUUGGAGCAGUGAACCUGUUCGAACUGCACAAAAUGGAGUGCGGCCGCACAGCCUCCAGUGCAGAGAGCACAAAAUAGACUGCGGACCGCACUGCCUGGUUUAGAGAUUUGUAGUUCUCUUAACCUCCCAUAUCCAUGUUUUAAGCCUAAGACACCCCGGAGCUUACCUGAAACUCACCCGAGUCCUCGGGACUCCAAACCAAAUAUGCAUAUUAAUUCAAAAACAUCAUAUGGACCUACUCGUGUAAUCACAUCAUCAAAGUAACAUCAUCAACUAUGAAUUUAGUAUCAAAAUCAUGAAAUUUUCUUAAGAAAUUCAAAUUUCCAAUUUUCUCAAAAACGAUCUGAUUCACGUCAUUUCAAGUCCGUUUCUUAUCAAACUUCAUAGACUUAUCUUAAAUCACAUAUAAGACCUGUACCGAGUGUCUGAACAAGAAUACAAGCCCGAUACCAUCAAGUUCUAAUCACAAUUCAUUUCUAAAUCUCAUAAAUAACCCAGAAAAUAAUUUUAUUUUAAAAUUUAUUUCUCGAGCUUGGGACCUCGAAAUUUGAUUUCGGGCAUAUACCCAAGUCUUAUAUAUUUCUACGGAUCCUCCAGGACCAUUAAAUCAGGGGUUUGGGUCCAUUUACCCAAAAAUAUUGACCGAAGUCAACUAAUUUUUUUGUAAAGCCAACUUUUAUUAUUUUUACAGUUUUUCACAUAUAGACCUCAAACUACAUGCUGGACUGUGCACACAAAUCGAGGUGAUGUUGAAAGAGGUUUUAAGGCCUCGAAACACAGAAUUCAUUUCGAUCCCUGGAUUUUUGCCUUAUAUAAAGACGUUAAAGAUUUCCUAAAAAUCCAUUCAGAAAUAUUCUCGAGUCUUAUGAAAUUUUCUUUGUUAAGUAGUAUUAAAUUUUAUCAUAAUGUUUAAAGAGCGAAUUAGCGUUUCAUUAUAUUGGGGUGGGGGUGGGGUGGGGGGAGUGAGUUUGUCGUGGCGAAUAACUCAGUAUGAUAUAGUUUAUCUCCAUAAUGUCAUGUUAAGUUGCCACUUACAAUGGAGUAUGAUAGAUUAGUAUCGUUGUUAUAUAAUAAAUGAGCAUAAGCAAGCGUUCUGUGAAUAUUAAAGUGACCGAAAAAUAUCCUCAUUCCGUGACUCCGCAAGGGGUUGCUUGUGAUGUUGAGUUUAACAUCGAAGAACUAGAAACUCUGAGAUAAUUUUUGAGGACUCUGAAUGAAUACCGGAAAUUUAUUGGAAUAAAACUAUUGGAAUUGUACGUCAAGGAUGAAGGCUUUCGUAAUAAUGAGGUUGUGCAAAGUAGUGUCACACCUCCUUUUUCCCGAGAGAAUAGGGGAAUGUUUUUAAUUUAAGUGACAUCAAUCGAAAUGAGAUUAUUUAUUUAUUUUAGAGUCACCACUUGAGAUAAUUAUUAUGGUGUCCCAAGUCACCAGUUUAUUUUAAUCCCAAAUCAAGGAAUUGACUCUUAUUUAUGGUUCGCGAACAGAGAAGACCGGGUAAGGAGUUCUGUUAACCCGAGAGAAUUUGUGAGGCACUCCGGAGUUCCGUGGUUUUAGCAUCGUCGCUCAGCUAUUAAUAGUUGGCCUACUUAUAUGAUUUAUUAUAUGUUUUAAACCUAAUAUAUAUUUUUUUAAAAAUUUUAACUGCUUUUAAUUAUUUAUGAAAUUUGUUUGAUCAAGUCACGAUAUCGUGCACCCAUUUAUUUUUUGUACACAUUGUGAAUCGUGUCACAAGAACAGUAACCACAAUCUACAACAUAUUUAUUUUAUUAUUGGUCGAAGUUAUGGUCGGGUCACGUGAAAUGCAUAUCCGAAUUGGGGAUCAUGUAUCAUAUCUAUGCCACGGGAACCGUACCCAUAGUCACGAUGAUUAAUAAUCGUGCCUAAAGCAAACUAGAUGUUUGUAAGUGUUUUCCUAAACUACCUUUGAGAUUUUAUAUAAGAUGGUGUUAUGGCAAAGAAUCUGUCGGAGUUGAGGUUAUGAUUCAUCAUUUUUUUAAGACUAAAUUCUUAAUUCUUUUAAGUUAAUCAGAACUAGUGAAGAUUUGUUGGCCAGGAUUUCAUCAAAACUACACACUUGAUUACACAAAAGAACGUAAUUUAACUAAAAGAAACAAUUAAGGAUUUUUGGAAUUCGAUAUUGAAAAGGGAAUCACAUGUGAUGACCCAAAGGUUCAUUACCUGUUUUAAAUGAAUUUUGUGCUUCCGAGGCCUUAAAAAUCUCAUUUAGAGCUACCUUGAUUAGCGUGCACAGUGCGGGCACGUAGCCAACAAGCUUAAAUAUGAAAUUCUGUGAUAAAUGCUAAGUUUUGAUAUUAAAAUGAAUAAAUUUGACUCUAUUGUGGUCGAUUGGUUAGUGACUCUAUUAUGGUCGAUUGAGCCCAUCGUUCUUGUGUUGUGGUGAUUGGGGGUCUUGAGGCUCGUGUAGAUUUGUUGCUUGACAUGGUUGACUUUGAUAUUAUAUCGUGGAUGGACUCGUUAUCACCCUACCACGCUAUCUUGGACCACCAUGCCAAGACUGUGACCUUAGUUUUACCGGGUAUUCCUCGUUUAGAGUGGAGGGGGACUUCUGGUCAUUAUACCCACAGUGGUGUAUCAUAUGCGAAGGCUCAACGUAUGGUUGAGAAGGGGUUUUUGGCCUAUUUUGCCUAUGUUGAUGAUUCCAUUGCUAAGGUUCCCUCCAUUAAUUCUGUGCCCCGUUGUUUGUGAGUUUCCUAGAAAUUUUCCUUCAGACCUGCCGAGUACGCCACCCGACAGGGAUAUUGACUUUCUGCAUUGAAUAGAUUCCGGGCACUCAACCCAUUUCUAUCCCACCAUAUCGUAUGGCCCCGUCGGAGUUGAAGGAGUUAAAGGAACAUUUGCAGGAUUUGCUUGAGAAGGGUUUCAUUAGACCUAGUGUUUUACCUUACGGUGCGCCGAUGUUAUUUGUCAAGAAAAAGGAUGGGUCAAUGAGAAUGUGUAUUGAUUACCGGCAAGUGAACAAGGUAACGAUCAAGAAUAAGUAUCCGCUAUCGAGGAUAGAUGAUUUGUUCGACCAGCUUCAGGGUGCCGGGGUAUUUUCCAAGAUUGACUUGCGAUCUGGCUACCAUCAAUUGAGGAUUAGGGCAUCUGAUGUCCCAAAGACAGCUUUUCGCACUCGGUACAUGCAUUAUGAGUUCAUGCUCAUGUCAUUUGGGUGGACCAAUGCCCCAACAGCUUUCAUGGAUUUGAUCAACCUUCGGGUCAAUGAGAAUGUGUAUUGAUUACCGGCAAGUGAACAAGGUAACGAUCAAGAAUAAGUAUCCGCUAUCGAGGAUAGAUGAUUUGUUCGACCAGCUUCAGGGUGCCGGGGUAUUUUCCAAGAUUGACUUGCGAUCUGGCUACCAUCAAUUGAGGAUUAGGGCAUCUGAUGUCCCUAAGAUAGCUUUCCUCACUCAGUACGGGCAUUAUGAGUUCUUGGUCAUGUCAUUCGGGUAGACAAUGCCCCAACAGCUUUCAUGGACUUGAUGAACCGAGGUGUUCAGGCUUAUUUGGACUCAUUCGUGAUAGUUUUCAUUGAUAAUAUAUUGAUAUAUUCCCGCAGCCAGGAGGAGCAUGAGCAGCACCUUAGAGGGAUUCUUCAGACCCUGAGGGAUAGUCGGUUAUAUGCUAAGUUCUCGAAGUGAAAAUUCUGGUUGAAUUCACAUGCAUUUCUAGGUCAUAUUGUAUCACUAGAGGGUAUUCAGGUGGACCCAAAGAAGAUUGAGGCAGUCAAGAACUAGCCUAGACCAACAUCAGCUACAAAGAUUCGGAGUUUCUUGGGGUUGGCAGGCUACUAUCGACGGUUCGUGGAGGGGUAUUCAUCUAUUGCAACCUCGAUGACCAGAUUGACCCAGAAGGGUGCCUAGUUCAGAUCGUCGGAUGAGUGUGAGGUGAGCUUUCAGAAGCUCAAGACAACUCUGAAUACGACAUCGGUGUUUGUUUUGCCUACAGGUUCCGGGCCUUAUACAGUCUAUUGUGAUGCUUCUCAUAUUGGGAUUGGAGCAAUAUUGAUGCAGGAUGGCAAUGUUAUUGCCUAUGAUUCGAGGAAGUUGAAGAAUCAUGAGAAAAACUAUCCGGUUCAUGAUUUGGAGUUGGCAGGCAUGGUUCACGCACUGAAUAUUAAGAGGCAUUAUUUGUAUGGCAUGGCAUGUGAGGUGUUCACUGAUCACAAGAGUCUCCAGUACUUGUUCAAGAAAAAAGAGUUGAAUUUGAGGCAGAGAAGGUGGUUGGAGUUGCUGAAAGAUUAUGAUAUCACUAUCUUAUAUCACCCUAGAAAGGCCAAUAUGGUGGCCGAUGCUUUGAGUAAGAAGUCAGCCAGUAUGGGCAGCCUUGCUUAUAUUCUAGUCAGGGAGAGGUCGCUUGCUUUGGAUGUUCAGGCUUUAGCCAAUCAGUUCGUGAGGCUAGAUGUUUAUGAGCCCAGUUAUUAGCUUGCACGGUUGCCCAUUCUUCAUUAUUGGAGUGUAUCAAUGAUCGACAGUAUGACGAUCCUUAUUUGUGUGUCCUUAGAAACAUGGUGCAACGUGGAGGUGCCAGGCAGGUUACCUUAAUGAUGAUGGAGUCUUGAGAUUGCAGGGUCGAGUAUGUGUGCCUAAUGUGGAUGGGCUCCGAGAGUUGAUUCUGGAGCAGGCCCAUAGCUCCUGAUACUUUAUUUAUAUGGGCGCCGCGAAGAUGUAUUAGGAUUUGCAGCAGCAUUAUUAGUGGUGUAGAAUGAAGAAGGAUAUCGUAGCAUAUGUGGCUCAUUGUUUGAAUUGUCAGCCGGUUAAGUAUGAGCAUCAAAGACCUGGUGGUUUAUUUCAGAGGAUUGAGCUUCCCGAGUGGAAGUGAGAGCAGAUCACUAUGGACUUUGCUACUGGAAUUCCGCUGACUCGGAAGAAGUUCGAUACAAUAUGGGUCAUUAUUAAUAGGCUGACCAAGUUAGCACAUUUCAUUCCUAUGGCAGUCUCCUAUUCUUUUUAGAGGUUUGUUAAUAUCUAUAUUAGAGAGAUUAUUCGCCUUCAUGGUGUUCCCGCGUCUAUCAUUUCAAAUUGGGGUACGCAGUUUACCUCGCGCUUCUAGAGAGUAGUUCAGCGAGAGUUGGGCACACGACUUGAGUUGAGCACAACAUUUCAUCCUCAGACGGCCGAUCAGUCCGAGCGGACUAUUCGGAUCUUAAAGGAUAUGCUAUGAGCUUGUGUUAUUGAUUUUGGAGGUUCGUGGGAUCAGUUUUUGCCUUUAGCAGAGUUUGCCUACAACAAUAGCUACCAGUCGAGCAUCCAGAUGGCUCCUUAUGAGGCUUUAUAAGCGAGAGUUGGGCACCCAGGUUGAGUUGAGUACAACAUUUCUUCCCAGACGGACAUUCAGUACUAAUAGACUAAUCAGAUAUUAGAGGAUAUGCUCCGAGCCUGUGUCAUUGAUUUAGGAGGACCGUGGGACCAGUUGUUGUCUUUAGCAGAGUUUGCCUACAACAACAGCUAUCAGUCCAGCAUUCAGAUGGCUCCAUAUGAGGUUUUGUAUGGUAGGAGAUGCUGGUCUCCAGUUGGAUGGUUUGAGCUGGGAGAGGCUUGGUUGUUGGGUACGGAUCUGGUUUAGGAGGCAUUGACAAGGUUAGUAUCAUUCAAGAUAGGCUUUGUUCAGCUCAGUCCAGGCAAAAGAGCUAUUUAGACCGCAAGGUUCGAGAUGUGGCUUUUAUGGUUGGUGAACGAGUAUCUCUCCAAGUGCCGCCUAUGAAGGGCGUAAUGAGGUUUGGGAAGAAGGUCAAGCUUCUUGAGAUUCUUGAUCGAGUGGGAGAGGUGGCUUAUAGACUUGUUUUGCCGCCGAGCUUAUCAGUUGUACAUCUAGUGUUUCAUGUGUCCAUGCUUCGGAGGUAUCACGGUUAAGUUCGUAUGAUAUUGUUGAGUUAGUACAUGUGCUUGGUUAGGAGCCCCGAGGGCUCGGGUGUAAUUCAGAUGUGUUUCGAGGUUGUUUUAGCCUUAGAAAAAUUGCAAAUUUUGCUUCAGCUAUUGCAGACCCCAUUCCUUCUUCGUGUUCGCAUCACUUCUCCCGUGUUCGCGAAGCUUUAACUUUUUCUUUCUUCGCGUUUGCAUCCCAUCCCUCGCGUUCACGUAGUGUUAUUUGACGUUGAGGGCUGAUUCUUCUUUUCAUCAUUGCGUUUACGUGAAUAUACUCGCGUUCGUGUAGCCUUGCAGGAUUCCCUCUUCGCGUUCGCGUGCUGGCCCACGCAUUCGCGUUGAAAAAUUUCUGGGCCAAAACAUUUUACUCUCCGCGUUUGCGUUCCUCUUCUUGCAAUCGCGAUGGCCUAUUAAGUGUUACUCAUCGCGAAUGUGACUAGCCUAUCGCAAACACGAUGAGUAAUUUCGCCCAGUUAAAUUUUAAAAAUUCCAGAACAGUGUCAUUACGGGAUUCAUUAAAGUUUUCAUAAAACCUUUAUUCUCCAAGUUCUUAGGCGACCAUUGAAGCGAUUCUUCAUCAAAACCUCUUGGCUUAGUAAUUCUUAGCUUAUUUUCUUCCAAUUCCUUCAUUAUCUAUUGAGAUCCUAGACCUAAAACAUAUGAUUUAAGGUAGAAAAUUGGGUAUUUGGGUAGAGUUAGUGCUUUUUAAUUUUUCUUGAUUUAGACCUCGUUUAAGGGUCGAAUUUGAAAACAAAUGAUAUAUUCAGGUUCGUGGGUGAAUGUGUAGUUUGAUUUUGGUCCGAACCUCGUGUUUUGACCAAGCGGGCCCGGGUCAAAUUUUAAGUUUUUGGGAAAAAUGAUGGAAAAGCUAUAAUUCGGCAUUGGGUUCGCGUUAUUUAGCAUUUAUUGAUGUAUUGAAGUCGUUAUUGUAUAGAUACAAUUGAUUUGAAGCCGAAUUCGAGAGCAAAGGUGGUUAUUAAGGAUUGAAUUGGCCGUGGAAGUUUGAGGUAAGUGUUUGGUCUAACCUUAACUUGCGGGAUUAGUAGUUGAGUCCUAUUUUCUAUGUGGUAAUUGUCGAGUACGACGUAUAGGCAUGGUGACGAGUAUCUAUACGUUGGUGUCUAGAAUGACUGUGAGUUUUUAAAUUGUGAAUAUCUUGAUUUCAUUGUAUUUCUCUUGCCUUGGUGAUGAUUCCUAUUUAUUGUGAAAAGCUUGUGAAAGGAAAUUGUUACCUAUGAACAUCGAGGAGCAUUGGCUAAUGUUAUAUUAUGAUUGUGAAUGUAUAUGAAAUGGUCUAACCCUUUGGAACAUUGACUCAAGUGGUAAAGUGAGAUAUGAAAUAAAAGUGAAAUGAAGAGAAAGAGUAUUUAAAUUGCUUCCUUGCAAGGAUAUUGUUGCUUAUUGAUCAUUUUCCCUUGUCGGGACGUUGAGAUUAUUGGUGUUGUACCCUUGCCGAGAUUUAAUUGUUUAAUUGUGUUCCCUUGCCGGUAUUUCUAUUAUUGUUUUAUUUAUUCCCUUAACCCUUGUUUGUGAUUGUUGUUUGGGUAAGGAGGAGUGUAAAGCACGAAGGUUGAUGUCGUGUAUUGUCUGCUUAUUGUGAUGAAAGAGUGUAAAGCAUGAAGGGUGAUGCCAUGCGUUGUUUGCUUAUAGUGAGGAAAGAGAGUAAAGCACGAAAGGUGAUGCCAUGCUGCACGAUGUACCAUUCAGUGCCGAUUCAAUUGAUUAUAUGUGAGGAAAGAGAGUAAAAGAAUGAAGGGUGAUGCCGUGCAUGUUUUAUUAUAUCAUUGCUUGGUGAGGAUGAGACUAAAAGCACGAAGGGUGAUGCCAUGCACUUGUGUGCUUUCUGUUUCUUUAUUAAUGUCUGAGUUGUGUUGUUUCUUUCGAUACAUGACGACUUCUACUUGAAAUUGUUAUUUCCCCCAUAGCACUCUCCCCCUACCAUAUUUAUUACUUGUCUCUGUAUCUCGAUUCUCCUGUAUAUUUAUAUAUAACUGCACAGGUUUAUGUGGUAGUCCGGUUUAGCCUUGUCACUAAGGGUUAGGCUAGGCACUUACCAGCACAUGGGGUCGGUUGUGCUUAUGCUACACUUUAUGCUCUUUUGCACAGAUCUAGGUGUCAGAGAAGCUUACGAUGCGUAGUAGUAGUCAGGGAGCCGAACUUCAGUCUACGAGACUCCGAGGUAGCCUUGCUGGCGCCUGCAUGCUCGACAUCUCUUCUAUCAGUUUUCAUAUUCUGUUGACAUUUGUAUUCGAGACAGUGUAUGUCCUUUAUUUCAAACUCUCAUUUGCAGUAAUCCUAGACAGUCUGUGUAUUGUUGUGACACCAAGUGCUGGGUAGAGACUUGUAUUGAUUUUCUAGACUGUUUCUAUAUUUAGUUCAGACUUCCGCUAAAUUUUACUUUUUGUUGUCUUUUAAUUGCUUAUUCGUUGAUAAUUUAAUUAUUUAAUCAUCUAUAAAACGAGGUGGGUUAAUAUUUGCAAAGGUUCUUGGCUUGUCCUGAAGUGUGGAAUCAAAUGUUUCUCAAUCAUACCUUCUCAAAUAAAACUAUGAGUAUGAACUUAAGCUAUUACACAAGAUUUAUGCAAAUUCUGAGUUUACAAUAAUCAAACAUCCUUUAUACAUACUGGAAUAGAGUGUUACCAAAAUUAAACUGCUUCUUCUCAUGUUUUUUUGGAAUCAGACAACUCAAUCCCAAACAUCCAAGGCUUAAACAGUUGAAUCACAUAUAAACUAAACUUCCCAAAUAUUUGAUUAUAAUGUGAUGCUUCUCAUCUUUACAUAAGACAAAAAAAUAUGCUUAUAGACUAAAUGAUUCUGAACACAUGAAUUUCACUUUUAGCAAGUAAUAUUAAAUAAAGUAAUAGCCCUAUCAAGUAAAAUAUGCUUAUGCUUCAGGAAACCAAGCUUAAAUAACAAUUUUACUCUAGCUAGCAUUUUUAUCUAAAACAAAGAUUAUGUCAAAAAGAUAAGUUCAGAUAUGGAUCCAUCAACUUACAAACAUUUAUGAAAUCAUAUAAGAGCAAUCAAACAGUCAUUACUUCAUAUUAAAAUAGAAAAAAUUUGACUGUUCUAAAGAUUAGAGUUGUGCAGAAUUAUAGAGGCGUACCUAAUUUCCAAGAAAACAACAGAAAACCAGAAAAUAAGUCUUUGAAUCAGCAGGAAUAUCAGCAAGGUAACAGCUUCAGAUCAAGAGCACAAAUCCAACAGCUCAACCAAAGGAAGAAACUCAGAAAAAACUGUGAAAACCUGAAUCCAAAUUGACUUUUGUUCCUCUUUAUAUGCUUUGAAUGAUUUGUAAAGUAAAAUUUCAGAUUGACCUUUUUCAAUGUGACGAGAAAAUCAGCUUAUAUGUGAGUGCUUUUUGUAUGUCUGGAAGAGAAUUAUUCUGUAUUUUUUGGAUGUGUGUGUAUUCAGAGAAUUCGAGAGACUCAAAUGCGAGGAUAUGAGGUCUUAUAUAGAAUGAAAUAUAUCCUAUGCUCAACAGAAUGAGUAAAUAAUAGAGAUGUGAGGGAUUCUUUUUGAAAUCCUGUCAGCUAAAAAUCAGGAGAUUAACA
rnacentral:lncRNA from 1 species